GGCUGAGAUCGAUCGUAAUUAACGUAACACGCCCAUAUAAAAGCACGUCUUCAGAAGUCUCGCCCCCAACUUUACGACAUGGAGAAACGUCCAACGGUAAAAUAGAGGAAUUUUUCCGAGACCCAAAUGGAGACACUCGGGUCACUGGUGGAUGCGAACCGUCUGGUUUUAUUUGGUAGCCUAAAAGCUGGCAUUAAAGGCCAGCAAAAGAAUGCUAUAUGGAAGGAAAUAACUGUUGCAGUGAAUAGUGUUUCCAAUGUUCGUCGGGCUACGGAAGAGGCUGAAGAGGGACUGGCUGGAGGAGCGUGUGGAGACCAGAGACACGUUAGGCCAGUCUCGUGGCCGGCAGCUGAAGAGGAACCCCAACGACUUGAAGAGGAACCCCAACGACUUGAAGAGGAAACCCAAGCCGAGCUAGGGCGAAGAGGUCAGUGGCAGGGACCACAGACCCCACUAACCUCGGACUAUCUUUCUCUCUCUCUCUCUCUCUGGCCCCACCCCGGGAAGAGCCAGAAAGGGCACCCUGACGACAGCCGCCAACCCGGUGAAGAUUUGAGUUGCCUUUUGCCCCCUCCCUUUUCCCC
ensembl:lncRNA